GGGGGAGAGACCGCUGCGCCAGGCAGCGCGGCGGCACCGAAGGGGCAAAUCCACACUCUUGGAUGAAACUCUCAGGUAAAAGGACCGCGC
rnacentral:ncRNA from 1 species